rnacentral:rRNA from 1 species
GAUUAUAAUUUAAGGUCUGGCCUGCCCACUGAGUAUUUGAAUGGCCGUGGUAUUUUGACCGUGCUAAGGUAGCAUAAUCAUUAGUUUUUUAAUUAAAAACUGGAAUGAAGGGUUAUAUAAGAAAAUGACUGUCUCUAUUUAAUUUUAUUAUAAUUUUAUUUUUAAGUUAAAAAGCUUAAAUUUUAUUAAAAGACGAGAAGACCCUAUAGAGUUUAAUUAUAAAAUUUAAUUUUAUAUUUUAGUAUUUAUUUAUUUAUUUAUUUUAUAAUUUGAUUGGGGUGAUUGAAAAAUUUAUUAAACUUUUUUUGUAUUAUUACAUAUUUAUAUGAAUAAUUGAUCCAAUUAUUUUGAUUAUAAGAUAAAAUUACCUUAGGGAUAACAGCGUAAUUUUUUUAGAAAGUUCAUAUUGAAAAAAAAGAUUGCGACCUCGAUGUUGGAUUAAAAUUAAUUUUUGGUGUAGAAGCUAAAAUAUUAGGUCU